rnacentral:rRNA from 1 species
UACGUAGGGGGCAAGCGUUGUCCGGAUUUAUUGGGCGUAAAGAGCGUGUAGGCGGCCAUACAGGUCAGCUGUGAAAACUCGAGGCUCAACCUCGAGACGUCGGUUGAAACCGUAUGGCUAGAGUCCGGAAGAGGAGAGUGGAAUUCCCGGUGUAGCGGUGAAAUGCGCAGAUAUCGGGGAAGAACACCCGUGGCGAAGGCGGUCUGACUGGGGCAGUUGCUGGACACUGAGGCGCGACAGCGUGGGGAGCAAACAGGG